GGGCGGAAGUUCCGUGGUUGUACGGCGGCGCUGGGGUUUCCUCCCGGCGAGACUGGCGGGGCUGCGGCGGCUAGGAGAGUGAAAUUUCCACAGCCACCCCAACCUUCAGCAACUAUCACCCUGAUCAGUGAGCAACCAUCAACAUUGAAGCAAGACCCUCCACCAGCUAAAAGAUUAUGACUUGCUGCAGGCUAAGGGUCCUCUCUUCCCCACAGACAUGAAUGAACCAGCUCUAUGACCACGUCUCCCAUAACCAGCCCCGGCCUGCAAAGGCAGCCACCACAGAGCCUCUUAGUGAUGUAUCAGCGCAUUCCUGAUGGACGGUGUGUUACUUGGUGUUCCAUUCUCCCAGUGAAACAUAAUUCUCUGCCAAUGGAAGCAUUUGAGAAAAAAACACCUUUCAAAGUGAACCUGUAUUAUGUUACUGGAACAUUUGUUAAAAAUCUAUUAACCUCUAAGAAGCCAAGAACAGAAAUUCAGCAAUAAAAGGUACUCUCAGAAACCACCUCUGGCCUGAAAAGGGGCCGACUGAAACAUAUACCUAUUUGAAGAUCCCUGGCACACAGAUACAGCAGAAGAAGCCCAAAUGUGUUAUCAAACCAUUGAGAGAAACAGAACUUUCCUCAAAGCCAAGAAACAGCUUUCAAAAGGAAGUUUCCCAAAAACUCUUCUGAAAGUACCAGCAUAUCUUCAAACCAAAUGAGGAAAUUGCAGGCCACAGAUAAAAGUAACCAGCUUAACCACUGGAUUGUGCUCUCUCUUUCCUUCUGUAAUCUACUUUGAACAAAUAAUACAAACAUGAAUAAUCCAUUUGCUAUUGGUAUCUCAAGUUUUGUUGUCUUGAUUUCCCUGGUCUCUACCUUUUAUUCUGUAAUUAAGAACUAUUUAACGAUGAGUUGAAUUUAGAUUAAUUUCUUUUAACAAGGGUAUCUGACACAUAUAUAUGGCACUUAUUAGUGUCAAACACUGAUCUGAGCACUUAUAUUAACUUAUACACACACACACGUAUUAACUCAUUAUAUCCCCAUUUUAUUGAUAAAGAAAUUGAGGCCCAAAAUGAUUAAGUGACUUGUCCAAAACCACACAGAGAGUUAAUGGCACAGAAUACUUUUCAAGCCCAGGCCACCUGGCUUUAGAAUCUGGGCACUUGAUAAUUAACAUUUUAGAUCACUGAUUCCCCAGGUUGCAGCCAGAAUAUGCAAUCAUUUUAGUGAUACCAGAAUGUAAGCUUUGUGAGGGGCUUUCUUUUCUUCACUGCUGUAUCCUUAUCACCAGAAUGUAGUAGAUGCUUAAUAAAUGCUGUAUGUCUCAUAUGAAUAAAUGGGUGAAUUGCUGCAUCUCAA